CUUAAUUUGACUCAACGCGGGAAAACUCACCGGGUCCGGACAUAGUAAGGAUUGACAGAUUGAUGGCGCUUUCAUGAUUCUAUGGGUGGUGGUGCAUGGCCGUUCUUAGUUGGUGGAGUGAUUUGUCUGGUUAAUUCCGAUAACGGACGAGACCUUGACCUGCUAAAUAGACGGGUUGACAUUUUGUUGGCCCCUUGUGUCUUCUUAGAGGGACAAUCUACCGUCUAGGUGAGGGAGGCAAAAGGCAAUAA
rnacentral:rRNA from 1 species